UAUGGGACAACAGCGUCUCCUAGAUGUACUCGACAAGGGACACAUUCUACACUAUGCCCCCUUUGACCUGGAUAUUGUAUGGGAAGUCAUGGGUCAAAUGAAAGACAAGCCAAGGAAAAGAGCAUCCCAGUCACAGCGGGGGAACGGCCCACAGAGGCAGUGGCAGGCAGAGGUGAGAGAGCUCGGACAAGGGAGGAGUGACAAGAAAUGAAGAGGAACUCCAGGGAAAGGAGGAUUCCACCCCAUUCACACUUGGGAGUCACAGGGGGCACACUGUACGAUGACCCAACGGAGUCUUUGGGCAGAAGGGUGGCUGCAGUUUAGGAAUUUCGUUUUCUGAAGCUGAUCUUGGUUCCUGCUGUGGUGCAGGUGAGAUCCAAGGGAGGGCUCUGCAUCACCCGAGGGAGAAAUGUGGAAAGGGACUGAAUCCAGACAAAGCCUACGCAGGCGAUGGGCUAGGGGACCUCGCGGCUGAGGCUGAGGAGUGGACGUCCCUGCCCGGGGAUGGGCUGGACGAUCAGACCCAGAUUCAGACGGGUCUGCAGAUGCCAGCAGGGUGGCUGAGGCUCAGUCAUCCAGGGAGGACCGGGCCCACAGCAAGAGGAGAGAGACAACAAUGCAAGUUUCACCGCCCCCACCCACGGGCGGUGCAGGUCAGCAUCACCAGGUGGAGCCAGGAGAGGAGAGCACACCCUGCGAGCACACAGCCCACUGCUCCCAAUACCAUGCAUCUUUGGUUCCUUUCAAGCCAUGCUUCUUGAAAGUAUAGACACCAGGACCAUCCUUAUCUGGUUACCUCUCGAUUCCUCCGCCAUGUGCCCAUCCACAGAACAUCCCCUUGCUAACGCCUCCCAAGAGCUCCGUGGGCCAAACCAUAGUACCCAGUGCUGUACUGGCCACGGACACUUUCCGUUUUCAAAACCACUUUUCCUUGGUCAGAGUCUGUGACAGCAGCCCACCCUGGCUUUCCCCCUACCUCUCAGUCCAUUACUUCUAAGUCUCCUUGUCAGUCCAUUUACUUUGAUCCCCUCCUAAAUCUUGGGCUUUGUUUUCCUCUGGUUUCCAACCUCUGCCCUGUGCUCUUCCACUCCAUACAUGAUCCUUGGGUGACCACGUCACCCCCACAGAGCUUCUACCCAUCUAACUUGUUUUCAUCAGUAUCCCCCUGUAUGCUGAUGGCUUUUCCUAUCACUAAAUCUACCUAGGACAUCUCAACUGGGCCCCAGAUUCCCCACAGGCCGAGACGUAUGGGGCAUCUGCACUCAGAUGUCCCAGAAGCCCUGCAGACCUGCUAGUAGCCCCAGGCCAAUGUUCCCUGGGGUGUCUCAUGGAUGGGCACCGCCAUCCACCCAGUUCCUUAAACCACAAUCCCGGGCACGCUGCUGGGUGUGAUCUUCACUGUGCAGUGACUCCCCUGGAGCUGCUCUGCAAAAGGCUGACCCGAGAUCUUCCUGUUGCCACAGGUGGGGAUCCGUUCCUCUCAGAGGCCCUGUUCCUGCAGACACACUCUGAAGGUGUCCGGAGCACACGCCAUGACCCUCUUUUGGAUCUCCGAGAGGACCCGGGCACUGUAAUGCACCUGAGAGGUUGAAAGCCCUGUCUGUAACAAGACGAUGAGUCAGGACACAGCAGUGCAAGCCCAUCACUGGGGAAUGUGCCAAAGGAUAUCUGGAAGAGAUCCCUAAAGAACCCUUAGGGAGCUGCAAGGUCGGCUUUCAGAAGAGAACACUUUCAGAUAAAGCUCACGCCAGGGCCACAUACCAGACCUACUACUUCAGACUCUCUGGGGAUGUCCUGCCAGCAUCGGCUCUCCUAAAGCCUCUCCAGGGGAGAUUUGAUGCACAGUUUAGGUUGAGAAGCACAAUCACAUGAUGCUUCACCCAUCCUGGUUUUAAAUAGAAUCCUGAACUGAAGAGCCAUGUUUGCUACUAAAGACGUUACAAAAAUU